GCCUAGGGGCGCAGCAGUAGGGAAUUUUCGUCAAUGGGCGCAAGCCUGAACGAGCAAUGCCGCGUGAACGAGGAAGGUCUUCGGAUCGUAAAGUUCUGUUGAAGGGGAAAAAGAGCGGAGAGAGGAAAUGCUUUCUGAUUGAUAUUACCCUUCGAGGAAGUCACGGCUAACUACGUGCCAGCAGCCGCGGUAAUACGUAGGUGGCAAGCGUUAUCCGGAUUUAUUGGGCGUAAAGGGAAGGCAGGCGGCCUGCUAAGUCUGGAGUGAAAGGUACCGGCUCAACCGGUACAGGCUCUGGAAACUGG
rnacentral:rRNA from 1 species